rnacentral:rRNA from 1 species
GGCAUGCCUUAACACAUGCAAGUCGAACGAACCCUUCGGGGUUAGUGGCGCACUAGGUGCGUAACGCGUGGGAAUCUGCCCUUUGCUUCGGAAUAACAGUUAGAAAUGACUGCUAAUACCGGAUGAUGACUUCGGUCCAAAGAUUUAUCGGCAAAGGAUGAGCCCGCGUAGGAUUAGGUAGUUGGUGGGGUAAAGGCCUACCAAGCCGACGAUCCUUAGCUGGUCUGAGAGGAUGAUCAGCCACACUGGGCACUGAGACACGGCCCAGACUCCUACGGGAGGCAGCAGUGGGGAAUAUUGGACAAUGGGCGCAAGCCUGAUCCAGCAAUGCCGCGUGAGUGAUGAAGGCCUUCGGGUUGUAAAGCUCUUUUACCAGGGAUGAUAAUGACAGUACCUGGAGAAUAAGCUCCGGCUAACUCCGUGCCAGCAG